CCUACGGGAGGCAGCAGUAGGGAAUAUUGCUCAAUGGGGGAAACCCUGAAGCAGCAACGCCGCGUGGAGGAUGAAGGUUUUCGGAUUGUAAACUCCUUUUGUUAGAGAAGAUAAUGACGGUAUCUAACGAAUACUCACCGGCUAACUCCGUGCCAGCAGCCGCGGUCAUACGGAGGGUGCAAGCGUUACUCGGAAUCACUGGGCGUAAAGAGCGCGUAGGCGGGAUAGCAAGUCAGAUGUGAAAUCCUAUGGCUUAACCAUAGAACUGCAUUUGAAACUGUUAUUCUAGAGUAUGGGAGAGGUAGGUGGAAUUCUUGGUGUAGGGGUAAAAUCCGUAGAGAUCAAGAGGAAUACUCAUUGCGAAGGCGACCUGCUAGAACAUAACUGACGCUGAUGCGCGAAAGCGUGGGGAGCAAACAGGAUUAGAUACCCCAGUAGUC
rnacentral:rRNA from 1 species